GGUUCCUUAGUGUAGCAGUUAGCACGUCUGCUUUACACGCAGAAAGUCCUGAGUUCAUGACACAGUGGAGCCA
rnacentral:tRNA from 1 species